CAACAGAUGGGGCCUCGGUUCCAGCACAAGAUUUGCCUUAGCUUUGAAGAGGCAGCUGUGUCCUGGAAGAUAGACAUUGUCACCAGGAAAGAGAUGAUGCCUUCUCUGCAGGAUCUGCUGCGGGAGAAGAUUCUAACAUUGUCUUGGAAUUCACCAACCUCAGAACUUUGUAAAGACAUCAUAAUGAAAUGCUGAGAGUGACUGAAAAAGGUCUGUACUACACACUAGUUAAAAACCCACAAUGAGGCCCGGCACAGUGGCUUACGUCUGUAAUCUCAGCGCUUUGGGAGGCUGAGGCUGGCGGAUCAUCAGUGGAAAGGAGUUCGAGACCAGCCUGGUCAACAUGCUGAAACCCCGUCUCUACCAAAAAUACAAAAAUUAGCCGGGCAUGAUGGCAGGAGCCUGUAAUCUCAGCUGCUUAGAAGGCUGAGGCAGGAGAAUCACUUGAACCCAGGAAGUGCAGGUUGCAGUGAGCCGAGAUUAUGACACUGCACUCCAGCCUGGGCAACAAGAGUGAAAUUCUGUCUCAAAAAGCAAAAAAAAACUUCAAAAAACCCACAGUGGGUUCUGAUGUCCAACUCCUGCUCCUCUUCAGAUGAUGCCAGUGAUGACCCUAAACCAGAGGGGCAGGUUGGGUCUAAUUAUUUGUAGGCAGCCGAUGUCUCCUGGUCUCACACAGGACACCCUGCACUGGGAUGUCUGCCUCUUUCUAUAGGAUCCUAUUACUCAGCAUCAUCUUUCUGCACAAGCUGAAGCUGCAGUGUUUGGAUGCUGAGUCUGAGAAUAGCUGAGUGAGGCUGAAUGCUCUGAAUCUCUAACCCAAGGGCUGUGAGCAUGUAAUCUGCUGGGAACUUUCUCCUCUAGUGACUGUAUUCAUAUAUGUUGUGGCCAAGAAAAGGAGGUUUAAAGCCCCUCUGUCUGGAGGAGUUCCUUCCUGCUUGAGAUCGGAACUGAAAACGACUUCUCCAUUUGCACAAUGCUCUGGCAUUUCCUGGGCAACAGUGUUACGUGCCUCUGCAGCGAGAGUAACUUGAGAUACUGCUUUUUAAUCACUUCUUGCCCAAUAUCUCAUAUUACACAGUCAUAAUCCUCUCAUACUUAUUAAUCAGAAAGCAGAACAGUUGGUGAAUAGCUUGAGUUCUUCAACUGCAAUCUGUAAGGGAUAUAGUGAAGUGCUGUUUGUGUCGUUCUAUUGGAGAAAUCAGGGGAAGGUUUGAUGGGGGAAAUGUCACCUACCUAUAUCAUUUUCUUUCUCUUUUUUUUUUUUUUUUUUGAGAUGGAGUCUCGCUCUGUCACCCAGGCUGGAGUGCAGUGGCACAAUCUCAGUGCACUGCAACCUCUACCUACCAGGUUCAAGUGAUUUUCCUGACUCAGCCUCCCAGGUAGCUGAGAUUACAGGCAUGCGCCACCACAUCAGCUAAUUUUUAUAUUUUCAGUGGAGACAGAGUUUCACCAUGUUGGCCGGGCUGGUCUUGAACUCUUGGCUUUAAGUGAUCCAAGCACCUCGGCCUCCCAAAGUGCUGGAUUACAGGCGUGAGCCACCUUGCCCAGUCAUUGACUGCAACAGUAGACAUUUCGUAUUGUGGGCUGCAGAGAAUUCCAAAGAAUGCUACUUUCUCAUUAGAGCCAUCUUUAAUGGAUAUUCCCUGAAAGAAAAAGAUUAAAAUUCAGUUUGCUACAUGUACAUCUGUAGAAUGAAUUCCCAGAAGUAGAACUGUUAUAUCAAAAGGCAUGUGUAUUUAUUUAUUAUUAUUAUUUUUGAGACGAAGUCUUACUCUGUCGCCCAGGCUGGAGUGCAGUGGCACGAACUCGGCU
rnacentral:lncRNA from 1 species